rnacentral:rRNA from 1 species
GGGGGGUGCUAUAAAUGCAAGUCGAGCGCGGGAAGCGAGUGGAUCCCUUCGGGGUGAAGCUCGUGGAACGAGCGGCGGACGGGUGAGUAACACGUGGGCAACCUGCCUGUAAGACCGGAAUAACCCCGGGAAACCGGGGCUAAUGCCGGGUAAUACUUUUCUUCGCAUGAAGGAAAGUUGAAAGAUGGCUUCUUGCUAUCACUUACAGAUGGGCCCGCGGCGCAUUAGCUAGUUGGUGAGGUAACGGCUCACCAAGGCGACGAUGCGUAGCCGACCUGAGAGGGUGAUCGGCCACACUGGGACUGAGACACGGCCCAGACUCCUACGGGAGGCAGCAGUAGGGAAUCUUCCGCAAUGGACGAAAGUCUGACGGAGCAACGCCGCGUGAACGAUGAAGGUCUUCGGAUCGUAAAGUUCUGUUGUUAGGGAAGAACAAGUACCGCCCAAAUAGAGCGGUACCUUGACGGUACCUAACGAGGAAGCCCCGGCUAACUACGUGCCAGCAGCCGCGGUAAUACGUAGGGGGCAAGCGUUGUCCGGAAUUAUUGGGCGUAAAGCGCGCGCAGGCGGUUCCUUAAGUCUGAUGUGAAAGCCCACGGCUCAACCGUGGAGGGUCAUUGGAAACUGGGGAACUUGAGGACAGAAGAGGAGAGUGGAAUUCCACGUGUAGCGGUGAAAUGCGUAGAUAUGUGGAGGAACACCAGUGGCGAAGGCGACUCUCUGGUCUGUUUCUGACGCUGAGGUGCGAAAGCGUGGGUAGCAAACAGGAUUAGAUACCCUGGUAGUCCACGCCGUAAACGAUGAGUGCUAGGUGUUAGGGGGCUUCCACCCCUUAGUGCUGAAGUUAACGCAUUAAGCACUCCGCCUGGGGAGUACGGCCGCAAGGCUGAAACUCAAAGGAAUUGACGGGGGCCCGCACAAGCGGUGGAGCAUGUGGUUUAAUUCGAAGCAACGCGAAGAACCUUACCAGGUCUUGACAUCCUUGGACAACCCUAGAGAUAGGGCUUUCCCUUCGGGGACCAAGUGACAGGUGGCGCAUGGUUGUCGUCAGCUCGUGUCGUGAGAUGUUGGGUUAAGUCCCGCAACGAGCGCACCCCCUAAUCUUAAGUCGCAGCAUUACGUUGGGCACUCUAAGGGGAUCGCCGGUGACAAACCGGAGGGAAGGCGGGGAUGACGGCAAAUCAUCAUGCCCCUUAUGACCUGGGUUACAACGGGGUUACAA